CCCUUAGAUGUUCGGGGCCGCACGCGCGCUACACUGAAGGAAUCAGCGUGGCUUUCUCCCUGACCCGAAAGGGUUGGGAAACCCGUUGAAUCUCCUUCGUGAUGGGGAUUGGGGCUUGAAAUUGUUCCCCAUGAACGAGGAAUUCCCAGUAAGCGCGAGUCAUAAGCUCGCGUUGAUUACGUCCCUGCCCUUUGUACACACCGCCCGUCGCUACUACCGAUUGAACGGUUUAGUGAGGGCCUCGGAUUGGUCUCGGCCCGCUCUUUACCGGGCGGCGCCGUUGGUCGAGAAGACGCUCGAACUUGAUCGUUUAGAGGAAGUAAAAGUCGUAACA
rnacentral:rRNA from 1 species